rnacentral:tRNA from 1 species
GCCUUCGUGGUGUGAUUGGAAGCACACUUGACUCGUAUUCGAGAGGUCUAGGGUUUAAGUCCCGGCUAGGGCA